AUUGAACGCUGGCGGCAUGCUUUACACAUGCAAGUCGAACGGUAACAGGGUGCUUGCACCGCUGACGAGUGGCGAACGGGUGAGUAAUGCGUCGGAACGUGCCGAGUAGUGGGGGAUAACGCAGCGAAAGUUGUGCUAAUACCGCAUACGUACUGAGGUAGAAAGUGGGGGACCUUCGGGCCUCGCGCUAUUCGAGCGGCCGACGUCUGAUUAGCUAGUAGGUGAGGUAAAGGCUCACCUAGGCGACGAUCAGUAGCGGGUCUGAGAGGAUGAUCGGCCACACUGGGACUGAGACACGGCCCAGACUCCUACGGGAGGCAGCAGUGGGGAAUUUUGGACAAUGGGCGAAAGCCUGAUCCAGCCAUGCCGCGUGUCUGAAGAAGGCCUUCGGGUUGUAAAGGACUUUUGUCGGGGAGGAAAUCCCCAGCGUUAAUACCGCUGGGGGAUGACAGUACCUGAAGAAUAAGCACCGGCUAACUACGUGCCAGCCGCCGCGGUAACAC
rnacentral:rRNA from 1 species